CAACAGCAAAAAACUGCGAACUCAGCAAACUGCGCCUCACCUGGGAAUUUGCUUUCCCAUAAUGCAGUGGAAGUUUUUGUGCUUCCCCAAAUCCACCACUGGGGGGCGACAGAGGGAAAAAAAACACUAACAUUGUAUUGGACCAUACCUACUCAUCCAUGUCCCGUCUCCUCUCUCUUCAUUCAUUGGACUUUUCCCAGGCGGACUUCAUCUUGUCAGCGGCUCGUGAUCAGAGUCAUUGAACAUGGCUUUGCAAAUAACGAGGACAGUGGAGGCUGAGGUCGGCGCAGGUGCGUAAACAUGCACGUCCUAUGUUGUUUGUUUUUCUCUCGCGUGCACUGCGCCUCUACUACAAAACUCCGCCACGCCACGCCACGCUGAGCGGACGUGUGAAUCCGAAAGAGGGAGACGAAGACUGACAGGGAGGAGGAGAGGAUUACAUCGGGUUUAAUAAGCCCUCGCUCCUCCGCGCGCUCGCACCUGCUCCCGGGACCUGCCUCGUGGAAUCGAUAAGAAGCGAAAACCGCGACGACAAUCUUUGUGUUUUUAAAGCCAGCUGAGCCUACCAAUGGACUAGAGACUUUUUUGUGUGUGUGUUUUGAGGGAGGUGUGGCAAGAAGUUGUUCCUCGUAUCGGCCGGUCAGUUUUGCUCUCGGACGUCGCCCUGCGCUCCUGAGGGGGAUUAGUGCUGGACACGCUGCGUGAUGAAGACUGCGCUCUUUGAUCGGCUUCAGCGGGAUGAUGGAUGGAGGGGCAGUGCAGCAGGACAGAAACCUCGCCUUCAUGGAGCCCUGACGCUUGGGGCUUAAGGCAGGUGGCGCGUAGGUAAAUGGAUGCGCAGGACAGGAGCCGCUCCCGUCCCGCCGCACCAGUCGAGUGGAGCAGGUGGUGGGACGAUGGCUCAGGCGCUCCAGGGACCUCGGGAGCAGGUCUCACUCGGCGGGCAGAGACAGGAGUACGUCAGAGGGGAAGACGUCCCAGUCCAGUGUCCCGGACCAGAGGAGUUACGCCUUUCGUUUCACUGUCCAGCUGCAGAGAGAUCCGGGUUUCUGCUCCCACGGCCUCACUCUCUCCUCCCACACCCCCAUCGUGGUGCAGGACAUCACCCCAGGUAAUUGGAGACCCGCACGAUGAAAACAAAUCCACUCCACCCCCUGCAAUAUG
rnacentral:lncRNA from 1 species